UAUAUACUGCAAGUCGAGCGGACAGAUGGGAGCUUGCUCCCUGAUGUUAGCGGCGGACGGGUGAGUAACACGUGGGUAACCUGCCUGUAAGACUGGGAUAACUCCGGGAAACCGGGGCUAAUACCGGAUGCUUGUUUGAACCGCAUGGUUCAAACAUAAAAGGUGGCUUCGGCUACCACUUACAGAUGGACCCGCGGCGCAUUAGCUAGUUGGUGAGGUAAUGGCUCACCAAGGCAACGAUGCGUAGCCGACCUGAGAGGGUGAUCGGCCACACUGGGACUGAGACACGGCCCAGACUCCUACGGGAGGCAGCAGUAGGGAAUCUUCCGCAAUGGACGAAAGUCUGACGGAGCAACGCCGCGUGAGUGAUGAAGGUUUUCGGAUCGUAAAGCUCUGUUGUUAGGGAAGAACAAGUACCGUUCGAAUAGGGCGGUACCUUGACGGUACCUAACCAGAAAGCCACGGCUAACUACGUGCCAGCAGCCGCGGUAAUACGUAGGUGGCAAGCGUUGUCCGGAAUUAUUGGGCGUAAAGGGCUCGCAGGCGGUUCCUUAAGUCUGAUGUGAAAGCCCCCGGCUCAACCGGGGAGGGUCAUUGGAAACUGGGGAACUUGAGUGCAGAAGAGGAGAGUGGAAUUCCACGUGUAGCGGUGAAAUGCGUAGAGAUGUGGAGGAACACCAGUGGCGAAGGCGACUCUCUGGUCUGUAACUGACGCUGAGGAGCGAAAGCGUGGGGAGCGAACAGGAUUAGAUACCCUGGUAGUCCACGCCGUAAACGAUGAGUGCUAAGUGUUAGGGGGUUUCCGCCCCUUAGUGCUGCAGCUAACGCAUUAAGCACUCCGCCUGGGGAGUACGGUCGCAAGACUGAAACUCAAAGGAAUUGACGGGGGC
rnacentral:rRNA from 1 species